rnacentral:rRNA from 1 species
CGAUGAAGGACGUGCUAAUCUGCGAUAAGCGCCGGUAAGGUGAUAUGAACCGUUAUAACCGGCGAUUUCCGAAUGGGGAAACCCAGUGUGACUCGUCACACUAUCAUUAACUGAAUCCAUAGGUUAAUGAGGCGAACCGGGGGAACUGAAACAUCUAAGUACCCCGAGGAAAAGAAAUCAACCGAGAUUCCCCCAGUAGCGGCGAGCGAACGGGGAGGAGCCCAGAGCCUGAAUCAGCAUGUGUGUUAGUGGAAGCGUCUGGAAAGGCGCGCGAUACAGGGUGACAGCCCCGUACACAAAAGCGCAUGUGCUGUGAGCUCGAUGAGUAGGGCGGGACACGUGGUAUCCUGUCUGAAUAUGGGGGGACCAUCCUCCAAGGCUAAAUACUCCUGACUGACCGAUAGUGAACCAGUACCGUGAGGGAAAGGCGAAAAGAACCCCGGCGAGGGGAGUGAAAAAGAACCUGAAACCGUGUACGUACAAGCAGUGGGAGCCCCACCACUAAGCCAGUGGUGAACUCCACAUACGCAUCCUUUGCUGAGGAUACGGUUAACGGAGCGAAAGCGACGUUCAACCGCAAAAGAAGCAGAGGGGGCUUAGUGGUGGGGUGACUGCGUACCUUUUGUAUAAUGGGUCAGCGACUUAUAUUCUGUAGCAAGGUU